UUUUCAGUGACAGAACUUAAGUUUCCUCAGGACUAACGAGGUGGCUCCAGCAGCUUCGGGAAACUUGGGACCAAGACCUCAGGGAAGAAGAAGUUCCCUGCCCACGGCCCUGACCGGCUGAGGACGGGUCUUUGCUGCAGUUUUCCCGGACAUUUUUCUAAAUAGAACAAAUGGAUCAUGUCUGAGAUGUCCAACCAAAAGAAAAAGGUGCAAGAACAAACAAUCCUAAAAUCUGUAUGGAACCAGAAAAGACCCUGAAUCACCAAGGAAAUUAUGAAAAAGAAAAACAAAGCUGGGGCAUCACAUUGCCUGAUUUCAAGCUGUAUUACAAAGAUGUGGUCAACAAGAUAGGAUGGUUUUGGCACAAAAACAGACACAUAGACCAAUGGAAUGGAACAGAAUGAAGAGCCCAGAUAUGGACCUUCAACUCUAUGGUCAACUAAUCUUUGACAAAGCAGGAAAAAAUAUCAAUGGAAAA